rnacentral:rRNA from 1 species
UACGUAGGGGGCAAGCGUUGUCCGGAAUUAUUGGGCGUAAAGAGCUUGUAGGCGGUUUGUCGCGUCUGCCGUGAAAAUCCGGGGCUCAACCCCGGACUUGCGGUGGGUACGGGCAGACUAGAGUGUGGUAGGGGAGACUGGAAUUCCUGGUGUAGCGGUGAAAUGCGCAGAUAUCAGGAGGAACACCGAUGGCGAAGGCAGGUCUCUGGGCCACUACUGACGCUGAGGAGCGAAAGCGUGGGGAGCGAACAGG